UGCUCCAGAGGUCAGACCACUCACUG
rnacentral:piRNA from 1 species